UUGUGACCACCAGCAGAGUGACUGUGC
rnacentral:piRNA from 1 species